rnacentral:rRNA from 1 species
GAACGCUAGCGGCAGGCUUAAUACAUGCAAGUCGUGGGGCAGCAUGAGUAGCAAUACUUGAUGGCGACCGGCAAACGGGUGAGGAACACGUACACAACCUUCCUUCAAGCGGGGAAUAGCCCAGAGAAAUUUGGAUUAAUACCCCAUAAUAUAUUUGAUAAGGCAUCCUUAUUGAUAUUAAAAGCUUCGGCACUUGAUGAUGGGUGUGCGGCUGAUUAGAUAGUUGGCGGGGUAACGGCCCACCAAGUCUACGAUCAGUAGCUGAUGUGAGAGCAUGAUCAGCCACACGGGCACUGAGACACGGGCCCGACUCCUACGGGAGGCAGCAGUAAGGAAUAUUGGACAAUGGACGAAAGCCUGAUCCAGCCAUGCCGCGUGAAGGAUUAAGGUCCUCUGGAUUGUAAACUUCUUUUAUAUGGGACGAAAAAGGGCAUUCUUGUUCACUUGACGGUACCAUAUGAAUAAGCACCGGCUAACUCCGUG